rnacentral:rRNA from 1 species
CUAGUAUAAGCAAUCUAUACAGUGAAACUGCGAAUGGCUCAUUAAAUCAGUUAUCGUUUAUUUGAUAGUACCUUACUACUUGGAUAACCGUGGUAAUUCUAGAGCUAAUACAUGCUAAAAACCUCGACUUCGGAAGGGGUGUAUUUAUUAGAUAAAAAACCAAUGCCCUUCGGGGCUCCUUGGUGAUUCAUGAUAACUUAACGAAUCGCAUGGCCUUGUGCCGGCGAUGGUUCAUUCAAAUUUCUGCCCUAUCAACUUUCGAUGGUAGGAUAGUGGCCUACCAUGGUUUCAACGGGUAACGGGGAAUUAGGGUUCUAUUCCGGAGAGGGAGCCUGAGAAACGGCUACCACAUCCAAGGAAGGCAGCAGGCGCGCAAAUUACCCAAUCCCGACACGGGGAGGUAGUGACAAUAAAUACUGAUACAGGGCUCUUUUGGGUCUUGUAAUUGGAAUGAGUACAAUUUAAAUCCCUUAACGAGGAACAAUUGGAGGGCAAGUCUGGUGCCAGCAGCCGCGGUAAUUCCAGCUCCAAUAGCGUAUAUUAAAGUUGUUGCAGUUAAAAAGCUCGUAGUUGAACCUUGGGCCUGGUUGGUCGGUCCGCCUCGCGGCGUGCACUGAUCCGACCGGGCCUUUCCUUCUGGGGAACCGCAUGUCCUUCAUUGGGUGUGUCGGGGAUCCAGGACUUUUACUUUGAAAAAAUUAGAGUGUUCAAAGCAGGCCUAUGCUCGAAUACAUUAGCAUGGAAUAAUAGAAUAGGACGUGUGGUUCUAUUUUGUUGGUUUCUAGGACCGCCGUAAUGAUUAAUAGGGAUAGUCGGGGGCAUCAGUAUUCCGUUGUCAGAGGUGAAAUUCUUGGAUUUACGGAAGACUAACUACUGCGAAAGCAUUUGCCAAGGAUGUUUUCAUUAAUCAGUGAACGAAAGUUAGGGGAUCGAAGACGAUCAGAUACCGUCGUAGUCUUACCAUAAACUAUGCCGACUAGGGAU